CAGCCGCCGCGGUAAUACGAAGGGGGCUAGCGUUGUUCGGAAUUACUGGGCGUAAAGCGCACGUAGGCGGAUAUUUAAGUCAGGGGUGAAAUCCCAGAGCUCAACUCUGGAACUGCCUUUGAUACUGGGUAUCUUGAGUAUGGAAGAGGUGAGUGGAAUUCCGAGUGUAGAGGUGAAAUUCGUAGAUAUUCGGAGGAACACCAGUGGCGAAGGCGGCCCACUGGUCCAUUACUGACGCUGAGGUGCGAAAGCGUGGGGAGCAAACAGGAUUAGAUACCCCCGUAGUCCCUGUCUCUUAUAC
rnacentral:rRNA from 1 species